rnacentral:rRNA from 1 species
CCUACGGGGGGCUGUAGUGAGGAAUAUUGGUCAAUGGACGAGAGUCUGAACCAGCCAAGUAGCGUGAAGGAUGACUGCCCUAUGGGUUGUAAACUUCUUUUAUAUGGGAAUAAAAUGUUCCACGUGUGGGAUUUUGUAUGUACCAUAUGAAUAAGGAUCGGCUAACUCCGUGCCAGCAGCCGCGGUAAUACGGAGGAUCCGAGCGUUAUCCGGAUUUAUUGGGUUUAAGGGGAGCGUAGGUGGAUUGUUAAGUCAGUUGUGAAAGUUUGCGGCUCAACCGUAAAAUUGCAGUUGAAACUGGCAGUCUUGAGUACAGUAGAGGUGGGCGGAAUUCGUGGUGUAGCGGUGAAAUGCUUAGAUAUCACGAAGAACUCCGAUUGCGAAGGCAGUUCACUGGACUGCAACUGACACUGAGGCUCGAAAGUGUGGGUAUCAAACAGGAUUAGAUACCCCAGUAGUC